AGAUUUCGUCACACACCAGACCACAAGGGCUGAUGAGACUCCCAAGAUAAGUGAAGCG
rnacentral:pre_miRNA from 1 species